rnacentral:tRNA from 1 species
GGAGGCGUGUCCGAAUUGGCUAAGGAGCCGGUCUCGAAAACCGGUGGGCCUCUGGCCCUUGUGGGUUCGAGUCCCACCGCCUCCGCCA